UAACUAUACAGCCUUUUUUUCUGAUACACAAAAAACAGAUCUCACCUGCAGGUUCAGGCGGCGCACGUGUAUCAGAGUCGUCCUCUGAAUUGGGCGGAAAGAUUCCUGAAUUCUGGAAAGUGUUAAAUAGAAUGUACUUGCGAGAUAAAAAACUCUGAAAAUCGACGUCAUGUGGACAAGGGCGAAGAAGCGUGUAGUAGCAAUUGCCAAUCGCCUAAGUGGCCAAGAGAUAUCUACACGGAGGAUAUGGCGAUUACAAUGAAAGACAGCAUCAUCGUUCAGUCCUGGAAAAACGGGAAUGGCGGUGCUCAGAAGCCAUUUUGCGGUGCGCGACACAGUGUCACUGAUAUCAUCUCUGUACGCAUAGGAUCCCGCGGCAAAGAGGCACUGUUUUCAAGCCGUGAAGACCAUAGCAAAUGGUACGUUACGAAGGCGAGGUCUAUAUUCUGCUUCUCCACACUCAAUCGCAUGUGUUCCCAGAGAUCACGAGGAGGCGAAAAUUACAUGCUUGGAAGACUUCUACCUGGCCCCAGCUAUUCAGAAGCAGCAUUGCCGAAAGCUCCAGCUGCAAAGGCUUGAAUGUCCGCAGCGGGCCUCCAAACGGCAAACUUAGGACAACGUGCACUUAACUCCGCCUAUACAUGCUUAAAUGAGCCUUUCUGGACCCUUGAUUCUCUACGGCCAUCUAUACAUUAUGGCACAUUUCCUCAAAAAUAAAUAUAACACUUCUUUAUUGUUUACGCAA